GAUGAACGCUGGCGGCGUGCCUAAUACAUGCAAGUCGAGCGAACGGACGAGAAGCUUGCUUCUCUGAUGUUAGCGGCGGACGGGUGAGUAACACGUGGAUAACCUACCUAUAAGACUGGGAUAACUUCGGGAAACCGGAGCUAAUACCGGAUGAUAUUUUGAACCGCAUGGUUCAAAAGUGAAAGACGGUCUUGCUGUCACUUAUAGAUGGAUCCGCGCUGCAUUAGCUAGUUGGUAAGGUAACGGCUUACCAAGGCAACGAUGCAUAGCCGACCUGAGAGGGUGAUCGGCCACACUGGAACUGAGACACGGUCCAGACUCCUACGGGAGGCAGCAGUAGGGAAUCUUCCGCAAUGGGCGAAAGCCUGACGUAGCAACGCCGCGUGAGUGAUGAAGGUCUUCGGAUCGUAAAACUCUGUUAUUAGGGAAGAACAUAUGUGUAAGUAACUGUGCACAUCUUGACGGUACCUAAUCAGAAAGCCACGGCUAACUACGU
rnacentral:rRNA from 1 species